UUAGAUUAUAAAUCAAAAUUUUUAUUUCAAAAAAAUAAUGAAAUUACAAAAUAAUUCUUUUAUCAGAUUAACUAAUAAAAAUAAAUAAAAUACAUAAAUGGAAUUCAAUAUAGUGAAAAGCAUAGUCGACAGCGAGUUUGAGGAUCGAGGUGAACAGAAGCUUUGUGUUUGUUGAUGUGGUGGUGGGGAAAGGCAUAAGCUUCGAGAUCUGUUGGUGAUGAACAACAGCCGAAGCUUCAAGAUCUGGUGGUCGGAAGCUUCAAGAUGCAGUGGUGGUGAACGGCCGAAGGUCAGAUAUGGUGAACGAACAUAUGUGAGAUGUCGUUAGCGGAAGUUUAAUAAUCUCGGUAACAAGGUGAGAGAAGACUUGUUGAGUAGGAGAAGAAAAAAAAAAGAAGAAGGAGAAGAAGAAUCGUUGAGAUGAAU
rnacentral:lncRNA from 1 species